GAUGAAGAACGUAGCGAAAUGCGAUAAGUAAUGUGAAUUGCAGAAUUCCGUGAAUCAUCGAAUCUUUGAACGCACAUUGCGCCUUCUGGUAUUCCGGGGGGCAUGCCUGUCCGAGCGUCAUUUGCAACCCUCAAGCCCGGCUUGUGUGAUGGGUGCCGUCCCCUACGGGACGCGCCCCGAAGGCAAUGGCGGCGUCGCGGUUAUCCGAUCAGCCAAAGUGUAUGGGGCUUUGUCACUCACUUUACGGCCCGGACCGGCGCCAGUCCGAAUCAAUCUUUUUUCUAAAGUUGACCUCGGAUCAGGUAGGGAUACCCGCUGAACUUAAGCAUAUCAAUAAGCGGAGGA
rnacentral:misc_RNA from 1 species